GCAGACUCACUCUGCACCUGGCUGCAGUCCCAGGCAGGUGCUUUUUUCGUCUGCCACAGAAACAUUCCAGAGUGCUGGGACUGCCUUGACCUGUCAAGGGUGACGCAGCUGCCCUGGGACACGGUG